AGUGAACGCUGGCGGUAGGCCUAACACAUGCAAGUCGAACGGCAGCACAGUAAGAGCUUGCUCUUACGGGUGGCGAGUGGCGGACGGGUGAGGAAUAAAUCGGAAUCUACUUUUUCGUGGGGGAUAACGUAGGGAAACUUACGCUAAUACCGCAUACGACCUACGGGUGAAAGCAGGGGAUCUUCGGACCUUGCGCGAUUGAAUGAGCCGAUGUCGGAUUAGCUAGUUGGCGGGGUAAAGGCCCACCAAGGCGACGAUCCGUAGCUGGUCUGAGAGGAUGAUCAGCCACACUGGAACUGAGACACGGUCCAGACUCCUACGGGAGGCAGCAGUGAGGAAUAUUGGACAAUGGGCGCAAGCCUGAUCCAGCCAUACCGCGUGGGUGAAGAAGGCCUUCGGGUUGUAAAGCCCUUUUGUUGGGAAAGAAAAGCAGCAGGUUAAUACCCCGCUGUUCUGACGGUACCCAAAGAAUAAGCACCGGCUAACUUCGUG
rnacentral:rRNA from 1 species